rnacentral:tRNA from 1 species
GGGAGUGUGGCGGAACGGGCAGACGCGCCGGAUUCAAGUCCCGGUGCCCCUUUGCGGGCGUGAGGGUUCGACCCCCUCCACUCCUACCA